AUGCAUGUUCGGCGGCCGAACUUGAGGUUCGGCGGCCGAACCUGAGUUUUCCUCCAAGAUUGUUUUUAUGCAAAAACUCAUUUCCAUUUUACUUAAAACCAUGAAAUACCUUAAAACAUUUUAUGAAAAACAUGUUUCUACCCUACUAGAGGCUUCCGACAUCCGAGAUUCCACCAGACGGUAGGAAUUCCGAUACCGGAGUCUAGCCGGGUAUUACAUUCUCCCCCCCUUAAGAACAUUCGUUCCCGAAUGUUCCUCAACUAGCACAUAGCAUGGCAUAAAACAUAACAUACAUACAUAGCAC
rnacentral:lncRNA from 1 species